GCUCAGGAAAAACGCAAGAGACGUGCCUAACACAUGCAAAUUUAAUAGUUUCUAUAGUAAAUUGGUGAGUAAUAUAUGAAAAUUUAAUUAUAGAUUAGAAGUAUUCCUAAUAACUUAGGGUUAAUCUCUGAUAAGUGCAAGUGUACUUUAAAAAGUUAUUACUGUCUAUAAAAAAGUUCAUAUCUGAUUAGCUAGUUAAUAAGGUAAUGGCUUAUUAAGGCGAAGAUCAGUAGCUGCCCUGAGAGGGGAACCAGCCACAUUGGGAUUGAAAUACAGCCCAAACUUCUACGGAAGGCUGCAGUGGGGAAUCUUCUGCAAUGAGCGCAAGCUUGACAGAGCGUCGUCACGUGGAGGAAGACAGCUUAAUUUAUAGUUGUAAACUUCUUUUGCUUAAAAGUGAAUAUUGACACUUAAGUAAACAAAGUAUCGGCAAACUCCGUGCCAGCAGCCGCGGUAAAACGGGGGAUACAAGCGUUAUCCGGAAUUACUGGGCGUAAAGCGUAUGUA
rnacentral:rRNA from 1 species